rnacentral:tRNA from 1 species
AUUUAAAUAGUUUAUAAAGAAUUUAAUAUUGAAGAUAUUAAGGUAACUUUUGUUUUUAAGUA